AAACAUACUGAAGCCAACACUCUGAUGCUUCUGACUUCCCAGCUAACCCUGUACCUGCAAAACUGGGAUUAAGGGAAAGGGAUGAGCUUCUAAAGCCCAGUGAGUAGAAAUACUGAAAACGGUUCAUUCAUACGCAUUAUAUAUGAAAAUGCAUCACAACACAAACAUCUCAAUAUAUCUUGGAUUAGACAUGACCCCAAAAUUCCCUCGACGGGCUAUUGAAGUCGCCUUGGUCCAAUCCCCAUUAAGGUAGACAUGACCCCAAAAAUACCCUCUGUCAACACUGGCCCCCCAAAGGAGCUACACAGGGCAUUCCAACAAGUAAUUGCCCAACUGACCUGACACAAUGACAGGAGCCGAAGCUUAGGCUAUUGGAGUCGCCUGGGUCCACCUAAUCUCUGAUCACAUAAUAUGCAAUGCAACAACUUCGUGAUUCUAAUGCAAAUCACCCUAAUAUAAAUCAUAGCAUCCAUGAUGCAUGAACUAUGCUCAUACAGUCUGUGUCUGUAGUAAAAAAAUUAAGUUUCGUUCUACUCACCUCUGCUCUUCUAGCAGAAACUGAACUGACUCUGUAAUCUCUAACUCUGAUGACCUCCUCGAACUCUCGGGUCCAAACCUAUACAAAUGGACUCGAAUGAGGUGUCAAACAUACUCUUAUACAACUCAUAAACAACUCUACAA
rnacentral:lncRNA from 1 species